CCUACGGGAGGCUGCAGUCGAGAAUCAUUCACAAUGGGGGAAACCCUGAUGGUGCGACGCCGCGUGGGGGAAUGAAGGUCUUCGGAUUGUAAACUCCUGUCAGGUGGGAGCAAAUUAAAAAGAUAGCACUACAAGAGGAAGAGACGGCUAACUCCGUGCCAGCAGCCGCGGUAAUACAGAGGUGUCAAGCGUUGUUCGGAAUCACUGGGCGUAAAGCGUGCGUAGGCUGUUUCGUAAGUCGUGUGUGAAAGGCGCGGGCUCAACCCGCGGACGGCACAUGAUACUGCGAGACUAGAGUGAUGGAGGGGGAACCGGAAUUCUCGGUGUAGCAGUGAAAUGCGUAGAUAUCGGGAGGAACACUCGUGGCGAAGGCGGGUUCCUGGACGUUAACUGACGCUGAGGCACGAAGGCCAGGGGAGCGAAAAGGAUUAGAUACCCCUGUAGUC
rnacentral:rRNA from 1 species